rnacentral:rRNA from 1 species
AUUGAACGCUGGCGGCAGGCCUAACACAUGCAAGUCGAGCGGAUGAAGGGAGCUUGCUCCUGGAUUCAGCGGCGGACGGGUGAGUAAUGCCUAUGAAUCUGCCUGGUAGUGGGGGAUAACGUCCGGAAACGGGCGCUAAUACCGCAUACGUCCUGAGGGAGAAAGUGGGGGAUCUUCGGACCUCACGCUAUCAGAUGAGCCUAGGUCGGAUUAGCUAGUUGGUGGGGUAAAGGCCUACCAAGGCGACGAUCCGUAACUGGUCUGAGAGGAUGAUCAGUCACGCUGGAACUGAGACACGGUCCAGACUCCUACGGGAGGCAGCAGUGGGGAAUAUUGGACAAUGGGCGAAAGCCUGAUCCAGCCAUGCCGCGUGUGUGAAGAAGGUCUUCGGAUUGUAAAGCACUUCAAGUUGGGAGGAAGGGCAGUAAGUUAAUACCUUGCUGUUUUGACGUUACCAACAGAAUAAGCACCGGCUAACUUCGUG